rnacentral:rRNA from 1 species
GUGAGUAACACGUGGAUAACCUACCUAUAAGACUGGGAUAACUUCGGGAAACCGGAGCUAAUACCGGAUAAUAUAUUGAACCGCAUGGUUCGAUAGUGAAAGACGGUUUUGCUGUCACUUAUAGAUGGAUCCGCGCCGCAUUAGCUAGUUGGUAAGGUAACGGCUUACCAAGGCAACGAUGCGUAGCCGACCUGAGAGGGUGAUCGGCCACACUGGAACUGAGACACGGUCCAG